rnacentral:rRNA from 1 species
AUGAUGCGCCUCCUCACCGGCUCCAGCUCCUCCUCCUUCCGCUUCCAGCCGCGCUCCGUCGACGCCUUCGGCUCCACCGUCAUCGCCGAGGGCGUGGACGACAAGGCCAAGGCGUACUGGGUGCACGCGUGGACCGUGGGGGGCGAUGGGGUGAUCACCCAGCUGCGCGAGUACUUCAACACCGACCUCACCGUGACGCGCCUCGCCGCCGCCGCAGCGUCCAAGUGCGUCUGGCAGAGCCGCCGCCCCGACCGCGCCCGCAACUCCCUCCCCGGCCUCGUGCUCGCCCUCUAG